GCGACCAUCUCUGUCGGCGCUAUCAUCUGAUCCAAUGAUAAAGACAGUGAAUAUGCCACACUCACCGGGUCACCGGGUAUAUGGAUGAUGCUCUCUGCUGGUGCCAAUAAAAUAGGUUACUGUUCACUCAAUUGGGAGUUGAGAAUUUUGAUAACUAGAAACAGAUUAGAUUAUUUGCUUUGCCUUCUCUUUUUAGCAAUAGCCAUUUGCUUUUUUGAAGUAUUGUGAUGGCCCUAGGCUUAUUUAAUAGGUAGGAAGCAUUCGUUUUUACUCACCGAAGCAACAACACAGUGUGGUCAAAGACUUAGUAAUUUAGUUGUAGCAAGCAGCCAGUGUUAGUUUUAAUUUCAGACCCAACAUUCAUUACGAUUCAUUUGUGGCCCAAAAAUGAGAAGCUAGCUUUGAAGUGGAACCGGUUUGUCCGGAUGAAGCGAGCGGAUUGGAGUAAGGGAACCGCAGGCACGUCUACUGUAUGCGGUGCUCAUUUAACCCCAGAGGAUUUCGAUGGCUAUAACCAGCGGAAGGCAUGAUUCGGAAUGUGACUGAAACCAGGUGCUUUGCCGAGCAUGAAGGUGAAGCCUGCAACCUGUUUCUUACUGGUAACUUUACAUUGCGAGUGUCAGCAAUGAUGGAGAUAAGCCGGUGAACCAUACUAGCCGUAGCAUCCUGUCCAUGUCCCUUGUACUGCGUGGCUCUCCUCAUCCCUCCGCUUCUCCGGCCUGCUGUGAAACAGCUUGAGUACUCACGCAGAAGCUGAAUACCACCUCAGUCCAACAUCAGCCUUCUGUCACGCUGCCAUCAACACACCUGCAUCCAGCCCUAAACUGAUCCCUGUUUGUCUGCUGUAACUGUCAUUAGGGUUUUAUUACACAAGAGUUGUUCCCUUGUAUCCUCUGCCCUUGUUUACUUCCCAUUACUGAGAUGAGAUAAUGGGAUUAGAGUAAGCAGCACCUGUAACAAGCCUAACUCCACACCCGCCCUCGCUCUAUGUUCAUCGGAUGUUGUGCUACUUGACACUCCUCACAACAAGCGCUGCACAUCUUUGCUGCUGCCGCCAAGUUUUCAGAGUGGAACUCAAUUACCCAUAAAGAAAUGUAUACAAAUA